rnacentral:lncRNA from 1 species
GUUUAAAGUCUUUCCCUGUUGUGAUUGUCUUGGGAGUCAAAUUGUUUUUAAAUUGGUUUGUCACUUGAAUGCAUUUGGAACUUUGUGAUUAGGGUUGUGGAAACCAAGAUAAUGUCUAAGUUAUAUAACAGUUCUUUCCAUAAUCAAUCACUGUCUAGUUUUAGAUCUACCUAAGAAGGUUCUUGCACACAUGGGAAUAAGCUGACUGAGGUAAUAGAUGAGUGGGUCAUCAAUUCACUGUACAGUCAGCCUCCUUGAACCAGCCAUGCCAGAGAACUAUCAGGGGGACUGUGGAAAAAUCACUGAAGACUUUUGUAUCUAAAGCAAGUAUCUGAGGUGUUAUCAGGACUGGAAACAAAACAGUUUGGAAAAUGUAAGUUACAGAGGAAGGGUAACAGAUCUUGGGAGAGGAAGAUACAAACAGUUUUGCUGUUCUGAGUGCCACAGAAUGGAAGAGCAUUCAUCUAUUACUUGCCAGUUAUGUCUUUUUGGCCUUCUUUUCAUCUGAUAGAAGAAUCUUGAAAGUGUCAUCAAGAUAAUAGAAAAAGAAACUUUUACUGCAUGCUACUUCUUGCUAGUAAAAUGUUUAAUAAACUUCCAUGGCAAGAAGUGAUCCCA